GGUUAAGUGAAUAAGGGCGCACGGUGGAUGCCUUGGCACUAGGAGCCGAUGAAGGACGGGACUAACACCGAUAUGCUUUGGGGAGCUGUAAGUAAGCUAUGAUCCAGAGAUUUCCGAAUGGGGGAACCCAAUAUCUUUUAUAGGAUAUUACUUUUCAGUGAAUACAUAGCUGAUUAGAGGUAGACGCAGAGAACUGAAACAUCUUAGUACCUGCAGGAAGAGAAAGAAAAUUCGAUUCCCUGAGUAGCGGCGAGCGAAACGGGAAGAGCCCAAACCAACAAGCUUGCUUGUUGGGGUUGUAGGACUCCAAUAUGGUAGUCUGUUAGUAUAGUUGAAGGAUUUGGAAAAUUCCGCUAAAGAGGGUGAAAGCCCCGUAGACGAAAUGCUGACAACACCUAGGAGGAUCCUGAGUACGGCGGAACACGAGAAAUUCCGUCGGAAUCCGCGGGGACCAUCCCGCAAGGCUAAAUACUCCCUAGUGACCGAUAGUGAACCAGUACCGUGAGGGAAAGGUGAAAAGCACCCCGGAAGGGGAGUGAAAUAGAUCCUGAAACCGUGUGCCUACAACAAGUCAAAGCUCGUUAAUGAGUGAUGGCGUGCCUUUUGUAGAAUGAACCGGCGAGUUACGAUUGCAUGCGAGGUUAAGUCGAAGAGACGGAGCCGCAGCGAAAGCGAGUCUGAAUAGGGCGAAUGAGUAUGUAGUCGUAGACCCGAAACCAUGUGAUCUACCCAUGUCCAGGUUGAAGGUGCGGUAAAACGCACUGGAGGACCGAACCCACGUACGUUGAAAAGUGCGGGGAUGAGGUGUGGGUAGCGGAGAAAUUCCAAACGAACUUGGAGAUAGCUGGUUCUCUCCGAAAUAGCUUUAGGGCUAGCCUCGGAAUUGAGAAUGAUGGAGGUAGAGCACUGUUUGGACUAGGGGCCCAUCUCGGGUUACCGAAUUCAGAUAAACUCCGAAUGCCAUUCAUUUAUAUCCGGGAGUCAGACUGCGAGUGAUAAGAUCCGUAGUCGAAAGGGAAACAGCCCAGACCACCAGCUAAGGUCCCAAAAUAUAUGUUAAGUGGAAAAGGAUGUGGGGUUGCACAGACAACUAGGAUGUUGGCUUAGAAGCAGCCACCAUUUAAAGAGUGCGUAAUAGCUCACUAGUCGAGUGACCCUGCGCCGAAAAUGUACCGGGGCUAAACAUAUUACCGAAGCUGUGGACUACACCAUUAGGUGUAGUGGUAGGAGAGCGUUCUAAGGGCGUUGAAGGUCGAUCGUGAGGACGGCUGGAGCGCUUAGAAGUGAGAAUGCCGGUAUGAGUAGCGAAAGACAGGUGAGAAUCCUGUCCACCGUAUGACUAAGGUUUCCUGGGGAAGGCUCGUCCGCCCAGGGUUAGUCGGGACCUAAGCCGAGGCCGAUAGGCGUAGGCGAUGGACAACAGGUUGAUAUUCCUGUACCAGUUGUUUUUGUUUGAGCAAUGGAGGGACGCAGUAGGCUAAGGAAUGCAUGCGAUUGGAAGUGCAUGUCCAAGCAAUGAGUCUUGAG
rnacentral:rRNA from 1 species